CAAAAUCAAGUAAUAAUGAGGGGGUGAAGGUCAAGUGAACAGUCUCAUACAGACAUACCGUACAAACAUUCCAUUCAACAAAUAUAGUUGACCUAUUGCUUAAAUUACCUGGAAAAAUAACAAAACUAUGAAAAAAGCAUUGAGCAUUGAAAAUGAGGUCCAGGUCAUAAGCACUCUGCCAGACAGACAUGUAGAUCUAAUAAUUCCAUACACCAAAUAUAGUUGACCAAUUGCUUAAACUACCUGAUAAACUGAAAAAUAAGAAAUGAAAAAAAAACUGAAAAAAAAAUAAUGACAAACAAACCAUGAAAACGAGGUCAAGAUCAUAUAAACCCUGCUAGACAGAGAUUUACACUUAACAAUUGUUGUAUACACAAGAUAUUGUUUACCUACUGCUUAUAGUAUCUGAUUAACUGAGAAAAUAAUGAAAACUGAAAAUUGACCAAUGAUCCAUGAAAAUGAGGUCAAGGUCAGAUGAACCCUGCCUGGCAGACAAGCAGAAAUUUAAAAAAAAAAUUGUACACCAAAUAUAUAUGACCAAUUGCUUAAUAUAUCUGAUAAACUGGGGGAAAAAAAACAUGAAAAAAGUAACAUUUACCACUGAACAAUAAAAAUGAGGUCAAGGUCAUAUGAAACCUGCCAGACAUACAUGUACAUCUAACAAUAAUUCCAUUGCUUGAAGUACACUAGAAAAAGACCAAGCC
rnacentral:lncRNA from 1 species